rnacentral:rRNA from 1 species
GACGAACGCUGGCGGCGUGCCUAAUACAUGCCAGUCGAACGAACCGCGACUAAGUGCUUGCACUACGUCAAGGUGAGUGGCGAACGGGUGAGUAACACGUGGGUAACCUACCUCAUAGUGGGGGAUAACAGUCGGAAACGACUGCUAAUACCGCAUAGGACAUAGGAUCACAUGAUCCAGUGAGGAAAGGUGGCGCAAGCUAUCGCUAAGAGAUGGACCCGCGGUGCAUUAGCUAGUUGGUAGGGUAAAGGCCUACCAAGGCGAUGAUGCAUAGCCGACCUGAGAGGGUGAUCGGCCACAUUGGGACUGAGACACGGCCCAAACUCCUACGAGAGGCAGCAGUAGGGAAUCUUCCGCAAUGGACGCAAGUCUGACGGAGCAACGCCGCGUGAGUGAAGAAGGUCUUCGGAUCGUAAAGCUCUGUUGUUAGAGAAGAACAGCGCAUAGAGUAACUGCUAUGCGUGUGACGGUAUCUAACCAGAAAGCCACGGCUAACUACGUG